UACGGGGGGGGCAAGCGUUGUUCGGAAUUACUGGGCGUAAAGGGCUCGUAGGCGGCCAACUAAGUCCGACGUGAAAUCCCCAGGCUUAACCUGGGAACUGCGUCGGAUACUGGAUGGCUUGAAUUCGGGAGAGGGAUGCAGAAUUCCAGGUGUAGCGGUGAAAUGCGUAGAUAUCUGGAGGAAUACCGGUGGCGAAGGCGGCAUCCUGGACCGGCAUUGACGCUGAGGCGCGAAAGCUAGGGGAGCAAACGGG
rnacentral:rRNA from 1 species